rnacentral:rRNA from 1 species
AUUGAACGCUGGCGGCAGGCCUAACACAUGCAAGUCGAGCGAGCGGCGGACGGGUGAGUAAUGUCUGGGGAUUGCCCGAUAGAGGGGGAUAACUAUUGGAAACGGUGGCUAAUACCGCUUACUAUCGGAUAACCCAUAUGGGAUUAGCUAGUAGGUGGGGUAAAUGCUCACUUGGGAGACGAUCUCUAGUUGGUCUGAGAGGAUGGUCAGCCACACUGGGACUGAGAGACGGCCCAGACUGCUACGGAGGCAGCAGUGGGGAAUAUUGCACAAUUGGCGCAAGCCUGAUGCAGCCAUGCCGCGUGUAUGACGAAGGCGUUAGGGUUGUAAAGGACGUUCAGCGGGGAGGCGUUACCCGCAGAAGAAGCGCCGGCUAACUACGUGCCAGCCGCCGCGGUAAUUC